GCCUGGGUGGCUCAGUCGGUUAAGCGUCCGACUUCAGCUCAGGUCAUGAUCUCGCGGUCCGUGAGUUCGAGCCCCACAUCAGGCU
rnacentral:tRNA from 1 species